AAGUAUUUGAAGUACCAACUCUAACAACUCCUACAAGCUUGCUCGCGGCAACAUCUGGAUAUGCCGCAAAUACAAAUGGGUGUGGAUCCUAGAAUUUUGGUGCACAAUAGAUACAUUUAGUUAUUAGGCCGAUUGCGCCAUGUAUGCAAUCACAAUUGCUGGAGGAGCGUUAGGCAUAACCCAGCAUAACAAGAAGAUCCCCGAUCCAGCGAGCCCGACGACUUCCCCGAGCUGGAGGGAGGCAAGGGCACUGCCUGGAGUGUGAAAUCUUAGAAGGAAUUUGACACCACUUUCCGAUUCAGGUGCAAAGACCAUGGGUCGUUGCGCAACCGAGAAACAUACCGGACACUAACAUUUCUCAACAAAGUGGAGACGUUGGAUCACAGCCAAUCGUCGUCAAAGUAUGCUUCAGCAUCAUCGAACCCAGGACCUAGUUUCGACAACAGACACCACCAUUCCUAACAAGAUGCACUGCUAUGACCUUGCCCAUUCUCCAGCCCAACAACUGUGAGCAAGGGCCUAGUAACCAGGACGAAAUUCAAUGGAAUGUCAUGGGGAAGGUUGAGAGAGUUCAUUACACUGGGAGGAACAUGCUUCUGAUUCCAUUUUUGUACCAUGGUACAUGAUACUGGGUUGCAUAUUCAAUGGUAUACCUGUAUUUUAGUAAAGUUCUGUGAUGUACGAAAAUGCUGGCAAGAAAUUUAUUUCAAAAUACAUUUUAUAAUACAAGAAAGCCUUCUGCAUUAUCUUAAGUUAUCUCACGUGUUCCUUAGAUGUUUUGUACUGUAUACUAGACCUGAAUUUUUUAUUUCCACACUUUGUAAAUCUUUAAUGUUAAAAGAAAUAUUUGAAUUUGAGCCUGCAAUAGGUAUUAUGUUAGUAGAAGUACCACUUCCCGAUUCAUCCAUAGAGGAGUCUUCAAAUUUACUAUGAGAAACAACACAUUCACUUUCAUGUUUCAUAAUUACAAAAUAAUACGUCACUCUGUGGUCACUACAUUAAAAAAAGGAAAGUAUAAUAUAUACAUUUAUCUGCAUAUAACACACACCUUUAUUUUUGGAUUUGAAAAUUAAAAAAUGAAAUAUUUGUGUAUAACACGUUUAGGAACAAAAUGUUUUGUAGUAUAAGAUGUCUGAAGAUUAUGCAGACAG